GACGAACGCUGGCGGCGUGCUUAACACAUGCAAGUCGAACGGUAAGGCCCUUCGGGGUACACGAGUGGCGAACGGGUGAGUAACACGUGGGUGAUCUGCCCUGCACUUCGGGAUAAGCCUGGGAAACUGGGUCUAAUACCGGAUAGGACCCUGGGAUGCAUGUCCUGGGGUGGAAAGCUUUUGCGGGGUGGGAUGGGCCCGCGGCCUAUCAGCUUGUUGGUGGGGUGAUGGCCUACCAAGGCGACGACGGGUAGCCGGCGUGAGAGGGUGACCGGCCACACUGGGACUGAGAUACGGCCCAGACUCCUACGGGAGGCAGCAGUGGGGAAUAUUGCACAAUGGGCGCAAGCCUGAUGCAGCGACGCCGCGUGAGGGAUGACGGCCUUCGGGUUGUAAACCUCUUUCAGCACCGACGAAGCGUAAGUGACGGUAGGUGCAGAAGAAGGACCGGCCAACUACGUGCCAGCCGCCGCCGUAA
rnacentral:rRNA from 1 species